rnacentral:lncRNA from 1 species
UUGGAAGGAAGUCUGAUCUUGAGUAGGAGAGGUCAGAAAUAGGCUUCUGAUGCUUGGAUAUGCUAGAACGAGGCUGGAGAGGCCUCAAAGCCAUGAAUCUAAGAAGAUUUGAAAGAACACCAUUGAGGUCAGACCUCGAAACUCCGAACAGCCAGGGUUUAAUGGUAGAGGUGGGGUGAGCAUAUGUCAUAUAUGGCCUGAGAAUCCAUUGAUUCCGGUGAGGUUAUGGUCAGAGAGGAUGAGAGAGGCUAGGCUUCCAGGGGACCUUCAAGAGAGUUUGAGAGAGGGAGAG